GGAGAGGUGGCUCAGAGGGUAAGAGCACUGGCUGCUCUUCCAGAGGACCUGGGUUCAAUUCCCAGCAACCACA
rfam:Mesocricetus auratus contig078607, whole genome shotgun sequence.